AGUGAACGCUGGCGGUAGGCCUAACACAUGCAAGUCGAACGGCAGCACAGUAAGAGCUUGCUCUUACGGGUGGCGAGUGGCGGACGGGUGAGGGAUACAUCGGAAUCUACUUUUUCGUGGGGGAUAACGUAGGGAAACUUACGCUAAUACCGCAUACGACCUACGGGUGAAAGCAGGGGAUCUUCGGACCUUGCGCGAUUGAAUGAGCCGAUGUCGGAUUAGCUAGUUGGCGGGGUAGAGGCCCACCAAGGCGACGAUCCGUAGCUGGUCUGAGAGGAUGAUCAGCCACACUGGAACUGAGACACGGUCCAGACUCCUACGGGAGGCAGCAGUGGGGAAUAUUGGACAAUGGGCGCAAGCCUGAUCCAGCCAUACCGCGUGGGUGAAGAAGGCCUUCGGGUUGUAAAGCCCUUUUGUUGGGAAAGAAAAGCAGCAGGUUAAUACCCCGCUGUUCUGACGGUACCCAAAGAAUAAGCACCGGCUAACUUCGUG
rnacentral:rRNA from 1 species